rnacentral:rRNA from 1 species
AAUCAACGCUGGCGGCGUGCCUCAGACAUGCAAGUCGAACGCGAAAGGUUCCUUCGGGAACCGAGUAGAGUGGCGCACGGGUGAGUAACACGUAGGUAAUUUGCCUUUGGGUGGGGAAUAACAGCCGGAAACGGCUGCUAAUACCGCAUAAUGCAGCGGCUCGACAUCGAGACAGUUGUUAAAGCGGGGGAUCGCAAGACCUCGCGCCUAAAGAGAAGCCUGCGGCAGAUUAGCUAGUUGGUAGGGUAAUGGCCUACCAAGGCGACGAUCUGUAACCGGCCUGAGAGGGCGGUCGGUCACACUGACACUGACA